rnacentral:ncRNA from 12 species
CGGGGUCGAAUGGAGUAGCGAAAGUGAAACGGACCCACGCGAAAGGAGAGACGCUUCCCGAGGCGAAAGCCCAAAACUGUACCUCUGAUGCCCGGCGGACGGACGCUGCUUGCAUGGCGGGUGAUGUGCCUUACCCCGUUUCAUGUGCGCCGGCAAAGCAAAUUAGACGGCACCCAACAAGACAUUUGUACGGAGGGCGAACAAAACCUUUAUGACCA